CCAGGCGGAGCUACAAUGCAGCCGAGCGGUAUUUGUUCUUCGGAACACACAGAGCGGCGCACGGGUGCGGAACACGUGAUGCAACCUGCCUUUAUCUGGGGGAUAGCCUUUCGAAAGGAAGAUUAAUACCCCAUAAUAUAUUGAGUGGCAUCAUGUUGAUAUGUGAAAACAUCCUGGUGGAUAGAGAUGGGCACGCGCAAGAUUAGAUAGUUGGUGAGGUAACGGCUCACCAAGUCAAUGAUCUUUAGGGGGCCUGAGAGGGUGAUCCCCCACACUGGUACUGAGACACGGACCAGACUCCUACAGGAGGCAGCAGUGAGGAAUAUUGGACAAUGGGUUAGCGCCUGAUCCAGCCAUCCCGCGUGAAGGACGACGGCCCUAUGGGUUGUAAACUUCUUUUGUAUAGGGAUAAACCUACUCUCGUGAGAGUAGCUGAAGGUACUAUACGAAUAAGCACCGGCUAACUCCGUGCCAGCAGCCGCGGUAAUACGGAGGGUGCAAGCGUUAUCCGGAUUUAUUGGGUUUAAAGGGUCCGUAUGCGGAUCUGUAAGUCAGUGGUGAAAUCUCACAGCUUAACUGUGAAACUGCCAUUGAUACUGCAGGUCUUGAGUAAAUUUGAAGUGGCUGGAAUAAGUAAUGUAGCGGUGAAAUGCAUAGAUAUUACUUAUAACACCCAUUGCGAAAGCACGUCACUAAGAUUUAUCUGACGCUCAUGGACGAAGCGUGGGGAGCGAACAGGAUUAAAAACCUGGUAGCCACCCCGUAAACAUGCUACUCAUUUUGGGGUUUCGGCUCGGAGACUAUGCGAAGUGAUAGUUACCCACUGGGAAUACG
rnacentral:rRNA from 1 species